CUUUGUGGAACAUCACAUCUUGAGCCUACAGAUUUCUCAACAGCAUGAAUGACAUUAUCAUCACUCUGAAAAUGAUGACUACUGAAGUGAGAUUUCAGUCUGGGAAGCAGAUAGAAGACAGAUGAUGCAGAACGGCGUGGCCUCACGUGAACUCUCCUUGAGGCCCACAGUGAAGAAAACAUGUUUUGCUGCCAGCGUCGUUGGACUUUGAUGCGUACUCGGAGCUGAUGGACAGGCUGUUUCUCUGCCCCCAAGUGGCCGAAAGCAUCAAUUAACGUGACUUUAACCGUCCUCUUCUGCAUCCAAAUCACACCCAGGUUUCAUGAACUCAAACCAGAUGUUCAGAGGGAGAUGAUGCCACAUCUGGUCCAGCUGAUGGAAGGUCUUGAAGUUCACUGACUGACCUCGACUGAAGAUGGUCGUCUCACUGGAUUUAAGAUGCACAAUGAGGGACGUCUGCAGAGACUGAGAAAGAGUCUCACCACAUCCUGACAUGAGGAAAAAGACUUUAUUGAAGAC
ensembl:lncRNA